GUCGUGGAUUCGUCGGCAGUGCAUGGUCAUGCUGGACAGGAAGAUAUCGGUAGCCAUUUUACGAGUGAUGUUUGGAACUUUGGCGAGAGGUGAGUAAAACCAAGCUUUAUCGAGUGAAUACUUCUAUCACUGAAUAGCUUUGUUUUGGUUUGUUACACACGCAUGCUGCAUGUACAGAGCAUUCGAUUUAUCAACCUCCAGUCAAGUACAGACCCAGGGAAGCUUCUGUACUGUUGCAAGGGCCAUCCACUACGCCGUGAAGUUGAACAGCCCCGAAGUUGUAACCUUUUAUCUAAGAUUUACAUAUUUUAUCGUGAUGUUGCACAUGCUGAUCGUCAUCGCCGAACUGACCUGUUGAAGAUGGUGAAGAGGAGUAAGGUUGACACUAUUAAUCUGGCCUGGACGUCUCUCCUCGAGACACUGUCCAAGUUGCCAAGUCAUGAGAAAAUGGAUGUCCUGGACCUGGAGACCACAUCAGCUGUGUUUUCAAGUUUAAUUUGCGGUACAGUAGUGGCAAGAAAGCCGUCCAUCAUGCCAGCAUCAUCCGCAGCAGCAACAGCAGCAGCAGCACCCCAGCCCACCGCCAUAGUCAACUGCACUGCAGAGACACCAAAAAGAUACCAUGGUGGUUGGUAUGUUGUUGCGGUGAGAAGAGAACUGGAAGCUAGCAGAAAGCCUGAGUUAACUAGCGUCAAGCCGGUGUUGGCGACUUUCGGCUAUGAAAUUCUGGCCAACAUGUCUCCGAAUCUACCAAACUUUGAGAAGAUAAUUGAAUCUGA